CUUGCUGUUGCUGAGGUCAGUGCUGGGACGGUUCUCAGUCUCUGCCUGUCGUAGCUGUCCUUCCAGACAGGACAGGGUGUGUUUCUGGUUAAUCCUCUCCUGACUCAGCUCCUUCACGCGGGCCGACAGGUCAGAGUUCUCCCUCGACAACCUCUCCACCAGCGCCGAGGAAGAAGAGGAAGACUGCAGGGAGAGAGAAAUUGGUUAUCGUGGUCCUUAUCAAACUCAUUUAUUGUCGUCGCAAAUCUCCCCCAAACACCAUAAAUACAUUUAAAACACUGCCGUCUAGCUCGUCUCCCAGUGCUUCAUGUUGCUAUGCAUGGGCCUAGCUAUGAUCAGCCAUUUCUGGUACCUGGUGGUUGUAUAGGGCUGUGCUGGUCUGGUCUGGCCCAGUCGAGGUGUUAUUCUUGGGUUGGAGUGGGCUGGAGUUGUACUGGUGUCGGUUGGACAGUCUCUCUGUGGCCAUCUCUCUCUCCUCCCUCUCUAGCUCAGCCAGAGUCUGCUGGAGAUCUCUCAUCCUCUGCUGGUCCUGCUGCCGCAAUAACUCCAAUUCACACUGCAGAGAGAGAGAGGGAAGAGAAAACAGGAAAGUAAACAAGAAAAAAAUGGCAUUUAAGUGGCUGAGACACUGUUGUAUUACAAGUCAGACAGGCAAUGCUAAAAUGUUGUGUGUAAAUCUCACCAGUUUGUUGCUGGUCCUCUCGUGUCGCCUCUCUCUCUCCGUCUGCUCCUGUCUCUCCUUCCUCCUCUCCCUCUCCCUCUGUUCCUCCCGCUCCCUCUCCUUGUCAUUGACCGAUCGAAGCCUCUCCCUCAGCACGUUGAGCUCCGCCCCUAAGCGACCAGAACGCUCUCUCUCUGUCUCCAAUGCUCGACUAGCCUCCUGCUUCUGCUCAUUGAGUGUCUCCAUAGUAACUCGGAGGCGGGCUGCAGCAUCCUGAUCUCUCUGUGCCUCCUCUCUCCUCUUCCUCUCUUCCUCCUCUACUCUCCUCCGGUUCUGCAGAAGUUCCGCCCUCAGCCCGUCUGUCACGGUGGCUAGCUCCUCCCCCUGCCUCCUCUCCUGCUCCAGUUGAGAGCGGAGCUCUGAGAUGAACUUCCUGUCUCGGGACGCGUCCGCUUCUUGUCUGCUUGUGAUGUCAUCGAGACAACGGGCGGAGCGCUCGCGUUCCUCCUCCAGUUCCUUCAUGUGGGCGUCGGCUAGGCGGGACUCAGCCUCUUUCAGGAAGUGUUCCAGCCGACUCUUUUCCUGUGACUGGAAAGUGUUGAGUUGCCGGGCGGAACGGGCGCACUCCUCUUCCAGCUCCUUAUGGGCAUCGGCUAGACGUGUGUCGAGCUGUGAUUGGAGGAGGUGGCCGCGGGAGAGUUCUAUCUGGAGUUCCUGUCGGAGGUUACUAGAGGUCGUCCUCUCCUGGUCCAGCUGACCCCUCAGGGUAACGACCUCUGAUCUCUGCUGCUCCUCUUCCUUCUCCCGGAGGUGUGUGUGAGUUCUCUCCUGGUCCAGCUCCUGCUGUAGCUCCUGGACUCUGGUCUCUUCCCUCCUUACAGCCUCCUCACAGUCCUGCUAUACACAGCCUGGGAGAGGACACACACAUCAGUAUUUAUUUGUGUGUGUGUGUGUGUGUGUGUGUGUGU
rnacentral:lncRNA from 1 species